CCUACGGGUGGCAGCAGUGAGGAAUAUUGGUCAAUGGGCGAGAGCCUGAACCAGCCAAGUCGCGUGAAGGAUGACGGCCCUACGGGUUGUAAACUUCUUUUGUCAGGGAGCAAUUUGGUCCACGCGUGGGCUUAGCGAGAGUACCUUAAGAAAAAGCAUCGGCUAACUCCGUGCCAGCAGCCGCGGUAAUACGGGGGAUGCUAGCGUUAUCCGGUGUCGUUGGGUUUAAAGGGUGCGCCGGCGGGCCUUUAAGCCGGCGGUGAAAUCGCGGGGCUCAACCCCGCCGAGCCGUCGGAACUGGGGGCAUUGAGUGCGGCGGAGGCAUGCGGAAUGCGCGGUGUAGCGGUGAAAUGCAUAGAUAUCGCGCAGAACCACGAUUGCGAAGGCAGCGUGCCGUGCCGCCACUGACGCUGAGGCACGAAAGCGCGGGGAUCGAACAGGAUUAGAUACCCCUGUAGUC
rnacentral:rRNA from 1 species